AACGAACGCUGGCGGCAGGCCUAACACAUGCAAGUCGAACGCCCCGCAAGGGGAGUGGCAGACGGGUGAGUAACACGUGGGAACGUGCCCUAAGGUUCGGAAUAUUCCCGGGAAACUGGGAGCAAUAUCGAAUGUGUCCGCAAGGAGAAAGAUUUAUCGCCUUAGGAUCGGCCCGCGUCGGAUUAGCUAGUUGGUGGGGUAAAAGCCUACCAAGGCGACGAUCCGUAGCUGGUUUGAGAGAACGACCAGCCACACUGGGACUGAGACACGGCCCAGACUCCUACGGGAGGCAGCAGUGGGGAAUAUUGGACAAUGGGCGCAAGCCUGAUCCAGCCAUGCCGCGUGAGUGACGAAGGCCUUAGGGUUGUAAAGCUCUUUUGGCGGGGAAGAAAAUGACGGUACCCGCAGAAUAAGCUCCGGCUAACUUCGUGCCAGCAGCCGCAGUAACAC
rnacentral:rRNA from 1 species